rnacentral:rRNA from 1 species
UGGUGGCGAUAGCGAAGAGGUCACACCCGUUCCCAUACCGAACACGGAAGUUAAGCUCUUCAGCGCCGAUGGGUAGUGGGGGUUUCCCCCUGUGAGAGUAGGAGGACGC